ensembl:lncRNA
UGCAGGCUGGGGAUGAGACUAGCCCCUUAAGUUGCUGCUAACACUUCUACUGCAUGGGCUUAAAAUGAAAAUGAAGCAGUUGCUUGGAAACCCUCCUCCUCUUUGCGCCACUUAUUUUACUUUUUCAAGAUGUCUUUUUCCAGACUAUUAAUUAUCACAAAGGACUACCAUCCACCUGAGCUGCCUGGGCCUUCUUUUUUCACCUGAAAAUUUAGUUUGGAAUUUGAAGACUUUGGAGAUUUUGGAAGGUUUUAAGCAUCUGGAAAUCCUGGAGAUGCAGUACCUUGCACAGGCUGUGUGCCCAGGCAGCUCUACAGGGCCUGGAGACCCACCUCACUGAGCCUCCUCUGCCCAGAGCAUCUGGACCUGCUCCUCCCCAGGAUGUCCUGGUUAGAGGGGCUGCAGAACAGCCCUUCCAGCCUGGACUCACACAGAUGCUACAGCUCAAAUUUCCAUAUCACAGAAAGCUGGCAGGAAUACACAUCAGCAGUGCUGAAAUAUGGCUGGAAGCUGUGUGCAUCCAUCGGGAUCAGUGUGCUAGCAUUCCCUCGCUCAGCAGGGGUGUGAUGAGUUCUUCAUUAAUAUUAGCUCUGGAAGGAGCAGAUGGUGCCAAGAUCUUACACCUCAGAGCCAGAAUUACAGUUUGGAGCCAGCUGCAUCGUUUUCAUUAGCUGGAGUUUCACAGGCCCCUUCCAGCCUUCACUUACCUUUGUAAGUGGGAUGAGAGUGCCAGCUCAAUGAACUGAUGUGUUAAACAUGAAUAAUGUGUUGAAUGAUUAUCCUAAGCAACACUACUGACUGAUGAGGUAGUGCCACGUUCCCAGCCUCUCUCUAGCUGAUGGCAUAUGUUGCUUUCACCAAUAAAAUCUGUAGACUCUAGAAAACUGGCUCUCAAGUUGCCUGGAGAAAGCCAUAAGCAGCAGCAGGAAUGUUCAAGGGUUGGAUGGCAAGAAAACCUCUGGCAGUUCUACAUAACUCUACUUAGAUGGGCGAAAUGAAACCCCAUGGUGGUCCAAAAGAGUGUGUGGGGCUGUUCCUGGACACCAAACACUCCAUAUUAUGCCUGCAUGCAGGUGAAGUGAUGUUGGUCACGGGACGGAACGACAGAUUCCCUUCUCCCUCUGGAGAGUACUUACACAAGACAGAGAAGUGGGCUUGUGAACAACCAAGUGGAAUAAAAUUGUCACUGUGUUGCUGGCAGACUUUGAAGUUAAAGUGCCAUGACAAAUUUUUUCCCUGUUUUUCUUCAAAUAAGAUUUUUUUAAAAAAGUGUGUUAAGGCAUAAGUCUAGUUGAAAAUGAUUAUUUUUGUCAGAAACAUGCUGGAAAAAUAGAAAAUUAGAGACUGAUGAGUCACAUGAUUCUUAGGUACAGACCCAGAGUAUGAAGUUGGGAAUGGACUUUUGCCAUUGCAGCUAAGAUGUCCUUCGAAUUUUUUUAAGUGUUUCAUUUGGCACACUGAAGUAAAACUAAUAGAGGAAAACAAUUUUUUCCAAGUCCACUGUAUACAUAGUUUGGAGAUAGUAAUCUACAAAUAUUUCCAGUAAGAACUUCAGUUGUGUUGCUUUAGGCCUCAUAAAAAGUGAGGAUUUUAUCGCAUUUUCCAGCUAUCUGUUCUCCAGUGGACCUUAAAUGCAAAGACUGGAAAAAAAACCACCUCUCUCAAAAAGUUAUUUGUUGCCAUUGAGGCACUGAGUGUUAAUAAAUUUAAACAAACAUUCUUUGUACA